rnacentral:rRNA from 1 species
CCAGACUCCUACGGGAGGCAGCAGUGGGGAAUCUUGCGCAAUGGGCGAAAGCCUGACGCAGCGACGCCGCGUGGGGGAUGAAGCUUCUCGGAGUGUAAACCCCUUUCGACUGGGACGAAUGCCUCGCAAGAGGAGUGACGGUACCAGUAGAAGAAGCCCCGGCUAACUACGUGCCAGCAGCCGCGGUAAGACGUGGGGGGCCAGCGUUGUUCGGAAUUACUGGGUGUAAAGGGUUCGUAGGCGGUGCGGCAAGUUGGGAGUGAAAUCUCUGGGCUUAACCCAGAGGCUGCUUCCAAAACUGCUGUGCUCGAGUGUGGGAGAGGCGCGUGGAAUUGCAGGUGUAGCGGUGAAAUGCGUAGAUAUCUGCAGGAACACCCGUGGCGAAAGCGGCGCGCUGGACCACAACUGACGCUGAGGAACGAAAGCUAGGGGAGCAAACAGGAUUAGAUACCCUGGUAGUCCUAGCCCUAAACGAUCAGGACUUGGGGUGCCGCCCGUUCGGGCGUCGUCCCGGAGCUAACGCGUUAAGUCCUGCACCUGGGGAGUACGGUCGCAAGACUGAAACUCAAAGGAAUUGACGGGGGCCCGCACAAGCGGUGGAACAUGUGGUUCAAUUCGACGCUACGCGAGGAACCUUACCUGGGCUNNGUCAAGUCCUCAUGGCCUUUAUGUCCAGGGCUACACACGUGUUACAAUGCAGGGUACAAACCGUUGCCAACCCGCGAGGGGGAGCUAAUCGGAAAAAACUCUGCUCAGUUCGGAUUGCAGUCUGCAACUCGACUGCAUGAAGCCGGAAUCGCUAGUAAUGGCGUAUCAGAUCGACGCCGUGAAUACGUUCCCGGGCCUUGUACACACCGCCCGUCACAUCACGAAAGUGAGCUGUACUAGAAGUCGCCGCGCUAACUCGCCGCAAGGCGAGAGGCAGGCGCCCAAGGUAUGACUCAUGAUUGGGGUGAAGUCGUAACAAGGUAGCCGUAGGAGAACCUGCGGCUGGAUCACCU